rnacentral:lncRNA from 1 species
CUUCAACUCUGGGACUGUUGCCAUCUCUAUCAGUGAACAAGCUCUGGAAUGUACCUGAGAAAUGAUAUGCAUGCAGGGAUUAGCCUUUUUUUUUUCUUUCCUUUUCUCUUUUUUUUUUCUCUUCUUUUUUUUUUAUUGCGUAUUUUUUUUGAAAAUAAACAUGCUAUGAUGCAAAUGAUGCAGACACGACUGGUUGGCUGUGUCUCUCAGAACACAGGAUCAAAGCUUCGGCUUGAACUCGGAACCACAAAUUCAUCUGAAACCCAAAGUCAUCUGAGACCCCAAAAUUCUGAACCAAUAGUCACCAACAGGAUCACAAGUCACCAACAAGUCACCAACAAGUCACCAAC